UAUAUAUAUAUAUAUAUAUAUAUAUACGUGCCGCAUACGCAUAAAUAAUAGUGUCGAAAAUUACAUGAUAUACAUAUAAAUAUAUAUACGAGCAUCGAUCGAUCCACGCGAUGACAAAAUUGUGGGGAAACGGUUCUAGUUGCCAAAAAAAAAAAAAAAAAAAAAAAGAGAAAUUAUACAAUAAUAAUGAUAAUGUUUAUGAUAAUGAUAAUGAUAAUGAUAAUGAUAAUAAUGAAGAAGAAGAAGGAAAAUAAAUGUGAAAAAAGGAACUAUGUAUCAUGUAAGAUUGACAAAUGAAUCGAAACUGUUGUUGAUUCGCGCGAUGUGUGAUUUUUUUUUUAUUUAACAUUUGUACGAUGUUGAAGAGAUUGAUUGGGGGAGGGGGGGGGGGGUUAUUCAGGUUGAACAGUGAUCAUGAAAUAUAUUAAUAUAAUGUAGGUACACUCAUACGGUAUUAUAUUGUGUAAUCACUCGUCGUUUGAACAUAAAAGACAAAAGAAAAGGGGAAAAAGAAAGAAAAAAAAAAUCCGAAGCCACCGUUUGCAGCACAUACAUAUUUUAAAUUUAGUAUUGAGAGAGAGAGAGAGUGAAAGAGAGAGAGAGAGAGAGAGAGAGAGAGAUAGAAUAUUUUCCACUACCUUUUGACUUCGUUUUCAUUUAAAAUCCGAAAAGAAAAAUAUAUGAAAUGAAAAAUUAUACUUAUAGAUAUAUAGAUAUUCACCGAUCGAUUUAUUGUCUAAGGUCGAAGACACAUUUCUAUAUAUACAUAUAUAUACAUAUAUAUAUAUAUAUACGUGUAUACGUUUGAAAAACAUGGAGAAUAAAUGCGAACAAAAAACAAACGUCGGAGAAGAUGUAAAGAAAGAGAAUUGAAAAUUAAACAUAAAAAAAAAGAAAAGAAAGAAAACCACACAAAUAAUAUUGAUAAGAAUAAUGAUAA